AGCAGCCGCGGUAAUUCCAGCUCCAAUAGCGUAUAUUAAAGUUGUUGCAGUUAAAAAGCUCGUAGUUGAAUUUCGGGAUCAAUUGAUUGGUCAUGCCUACGGUAUGUACUAGUCAUAUUGGUUCUCACCUUCUAAUGAACCUUAAUGUCAUUCACUUGAUGUUUUGGGGAAUUAGGACUGUUACCUUGAAAAAAUUAGAGUGUUUAAAGCAGGCUUACGCUUGAAUACAUUAGCAUGGAAUAAUGAAAUAGGACAUCGCAUUCUAUUUUGUUGGUUUCUAGGAUCGAUGUAAUGAUUAAUAGGGAUAGUUGGGGGCAUUAGUAUUCAAUUGUCAGAGGUGAAAUUCUUGGAUUUAUUGAAGACUAACUACUGCGAAAGCAUUUGCCAAGGAUGUUUUCAUUAAUCGAGAACGAAAGUUAGGGGAUCGAAGACGAUCAGAUACCGUCGUAGUCUUAACCAUAAACUAUGCCGACUAGGGAUCGGAUGAUGUUAAUUUUUAAAUGACUCU
rnacentral:sRNA from 1 species